rnacentral:rRNA from 1 species
AGCGAACGCUGGCGGCAGGCUUAACACAUGCAAGUCGAGCGGGCCCUUCGGGGUCAGCGGCAGACGGGUGAGUAACACGUGGGAACGUACCCUUUGGUUCGGAAUAACGCUGGGAAACUAGCGCUAAUACCGGAUACGCCCUUUUGGGGAAAGGCUUGCUGCCGAAGGAUCGGCCCGCGUCUGAUUAGCUAGUUGGUGGGGUAAUGGCCUACCAAGGCGACGAUCAGUAGCUGGUCUGAGAGGAUGAUCAGCCACACUGGGACUGAGACACGGCCCAGACUCCUACGGGAGGCAGCAGUGGGGAAUAUAGGACAAUGGGCGCAAGCCUGAUCCAGCCAUGCCGCGUGAGUGAUGAAGGCCUUAGGGUUGUAAAGCUCUUUUGUCCGGGACGAUAAUGACGGUACCGGAAGAAUAAGCCCCGGCUAACUUCGUG